UUAGUAUCUCUCCUAAGAGACACUUGUCCUUCCACACUGUCCCAUGGGCAGCUCCUGUCUGGUUACUCUGUGGGCAUCUUCGUCUUCUAGAAAAUGACCAUUGACGUGUAUUUUCUUCCAGAAACUAUCAGAGACACCAAUGGCACCUUCUUCCUCCUUUCUCGUCUGGUCAGGAAUGAGCGACCCCCUGCAGAGUUCUCUUAAAUGAGCCUUUCUUCACCAGUGAUGUCACCUUUGCUUCAAACAGAAGGAUUCUAACCUGUGUGUGUACACUCUGGUGUUUGAUGAUUGAAGCCUCGCCCAACUCGCUGCAAAAAUGGAGCUUCUCCUGUGUGUAUCCUCUGGUGUGUGCUGAGACUUGACAUCUGACUGAAGCCUCGCCCACACUCCCACAAAACAUGGAGUUUCUCCCUGUGUAUGAUGAAAUGUGACCUUUGCCUGAAGUUGCGCCCACUCUUCCUGCAAACAUGGGGCUUCUCCCCCGUGUGUAUCCUCCAGUGUCUGAUAAGACGUGACCUCAGAGUGAAGCCUCGCCCUCACUCCUUGCAAACAUGGGGCUUCUCUCCUGUGUAUGUCCUCUGGUGUGCAUUGAGACUUGACCUCCAACUGAAACCUCGCCCACACUCUCUGGAAACAUGGGAUUUCUCCUCUGUGUGUGUAUUCUGGGUUGUCAUAAAAUUUGAUCAAACAGUGAA